CAAUAGCUCAGAUUUGAAAUCUGGUCCUUUUAGGAUCCGAGUUGUAAUCUGUAGAGGAUGCUUCGGUGUUAGCUCCGGCCUAAGUUCCUUGGAACAGGACGUCAUAGAGGGUGAGAAUCCCGUAUGUGGUCGGUCGUUUUCACCAUGUGAAGCUCCUUCGACGAGUCGAGUUGUUUGGGAAUGCAGCUCUAAAUGGGAGGUAAAUUUCUUCUAAAGCUAAAUAUUGGCCAGAGACCGAUAGCGCACAAGUAGAGUGAUCGAAAGAUGAAAAGCACUUUGGAAAGAGAGUUAAAAAGCACGUGAAAUUGUUGAAAGGGAAGCGCUUGCAACCAGACUUGAUUAUGAUGGCUUAUCCGAGACUCUGGCUCGGUGCACUCCUUCAUGGUCAGGCCAGCAUCAGUUCGGGCGGCUGGUUAAAGGUUCCGGGAAUGUGGCUCUCUUCGGGGAGUGUUAUAGCCCGGUUCACAAUACAGUCAGCCUGGACUGAGGUCCGCGCUUCGGCUAGGAUGCUGGCGUAAUGGUUGUAAGCGGCCCGUCUUGAAACACGGACCAAGGAGUCUAACAUCUGUGCAAGUGUUUGGGUGUAAAACCCAUACGCGUAAUGAAAGUGAACGGAGGUGGGAACCCGCAAGGGCGCACCAUCGACCGAUCCUGAUGUCUUCGGAUGGAUUUGAGUAAGAGCAUAGCUGUUGGGACCCGAAAGAUGGUGAACUAUGCGUGGGUAGGGUGAAGCCAGAGGAAACUCUGGUGGAGGCUCGCAGCGGUUCUGACGUGCAAAUCGAUCGUCAAACCUGC
rnacentral:rRNA from 1 species